UUUUUCUCUCUUAUCACUCUCUCCCCCCUCUCUGCCACGCCGCCCCGUCGCCGCCCGUCGCCGCCGGCCGAAAAUCGCCGCCAGCGGCGGCAACCCUCCAAUCCACCCUAAAAUUUUACCAUCUCUUCCCCUCUUCCUCCUCUUUCUACCUAUACCACUCAUAUCCUCCAAAUCUCCACCAAUCUCCGUAGAUCUAAGCCUAACCGAAACCCUAGCCGCCGCCCAUCACCCCAAAACUCCAAGAAUUUUACACCACCGGCCUCCUCUUCUCCCCCUCUUUCCAUAUCUCGGACUCAAAAAUCAAAAAAACCCCACGCCGCCCUAGCGCCACCACCACUGCCCUAGCGCCGCCGCCACUGUUGCCCACCGCCGCCCGUUUCUUUUCUCUAACCGGCCUCGAGCAAGGUUGUGUCGUUGAUAUUAUUGAAAAUGGACUCGGAUUCACCGAAAUUUUUGGUCUCAAGAAUAUCAACAAUAGAAGCUUGCUCGAAAGUCGUACCACUGCCUAUCGUCGUCUCCCGGAUGCUCGAGUAUAUGAUAUUUUCACAUUAACAAGAAGAUUGGAACUCAUCUUGAUUGUUGGGAGCAUAUCCAUUUAAAUAAAUGAGUGCUUAGCUAAACUUCUUUAUUGUUAAAUAUAUCUUGUUGUAGUUCAUAUGUAAAAAAUAAAUCCUUGGUUGAUCAAACACUCUUUAUUCAUGUGUUAUUUGUCUUUACUAUCUAUUAUAGUUUUGAUGCAUAUAAAAUGAGAUGUUUCAAGUA